AACGAACGCUGGCGGCAGGCUUAACACAUGCAAGUCGAGCGCCCCGCAAGGGGAGCGGCAGACGGGUGAGUAACGCGUGGGAAUCUACCCAUCUCUACGGAAUAACGCAUGGAAACGUGUGCUAAUACCGUAUACGUCCUUCGGGAGAAAGAUUUAUCGGAGAUGGAUGAGCCCGCGUUGGAUUAGCUGGUUGGUGGGGUAAAGGCCUACCAAGGCGACGAUCCAUAGCUGGUCUGAGAGGAUGAUCAGCCACACUGGGACUGGGACACGGCCCAGACUCCUACGGGAGGCAGCAGUGGGGAAUAUUGGACAAUGGGCGCAAGCCUGAUCCAGCCAUGCCGCGUGAGUGAUGAAGGCCCUAGGGUUGCAAAGCUCUUUCACCGGUGAAGAUAAUGACGGUAACCGGAGAAGAAGCCCCGGCUAACUUCGUGCCAGCCGCCGCGGUAAAAC
rnacentral:rRNA from 1 species